GCGUCUGUAAGCAGGAGGUGAAGGUCAUCUUCUCGUCCCGUGGGGCGGGCGGAAGGUUUCAAAGUCUCAGCUGGGAGGCCUGAGUGGCCCCGCAAAUGCUCCACAUCGGGAGGACCAAGCUGUGUCUGUAUCUUCUUGUCUGGGCUGAAGAUGCUGUGUUGCAUCGGAGGAAGCAGGCUGGCCAGCUAAUGGCCCUGGGACACCUGGACGACCCACCAGGUAGAGUC